ACAUGCCUACAGCAUAGCGCUAAUGCACCAGAUCCCAUUAGAACUCCACAGUUAAGCACGCCCAAGCUAGAGUAUUACUAUAAUGGGUGACCACCCGGAAAGUCCUAGUGUUUAACAUGCC
rfam:Picea glauca, whole genome shotgun sequence.